CUCAGCCACCUCCUCUCUCCUGUCAGCCUGGUCCUCUGCCUCUCUCCGAGCCUUUUUCUCCCUCUUCCCUUCUCUGUCCAUCUCCAUUGGCCUUCCCAUCUGUGGUCGGCAGAAUAGGGCCCUGGAGAGAUCCAAGUCGUCAUCCCCGGAACCUAUGAAUGUGCUAAGUUACCUGGCGGGGAGGAAUUAAGGUUGCUACAGCUGAUCUUAAAGAGGUGCUCCGGGAUUAUACAGGUGGGCCCAAUGUCAUCAUGAGGGUCCUUAAAAGCGGAAGAGGAAGGUGGAGAGGAGAGAGAGAUGGAGAGCCAGAGACGCGAUGUGCAGGAGGAAGGGGCCACAGCCAAGGAUGCCCGGCCUCUAGAAACCGGAAAAGGUGAGGAAGCGCGUGCUCCCCUAGAGCCUCCAGAAGGAAACGUAGCCUUCCAACGCUAAUUUUAGGCCAGAAAGCCCUGUCAGGCGUCUGACUGUAAAGCUAUCAGAUCAGACAUUCAUGUUUGAAGCCCUUAUGUCUAUGGUAAUCUGUUACAGCCCCCGCAGGAAACGCACGACUCCUGUGGGCUCCGUCUCUGAUGUUCAAUCCAGGGCGCUGCAUUUCACACCGGCUUUCAUGCGUGUCUACCCCAGAGCGAGCUCCAGGAGGGCGGGGACUUUGUGGUGCUCCCAGCUGUGUGCCCAGAGCAGAGUCUGGCACAGGAUGGGCUCUCAGUUAAUGUUUGUUAAGGGGAGGAGGUGCCGGGCUUGGUGGCUCGCGCCUGUAAUCCCAGCACCUGAUCACUUGAGGUCAGCCUGGGCAACAGGGCAAAACCCCAUCUCUACAAAAAAUUAGCCGGGCACCUGUAGUUCCAGCUACUCGGGAGGCUGCGACAGGAGGUUCAUUUGAGCCUGGGACGCAGAGGUUGCAGUGAGCCAAGAAAGCGCCCUGCACUCCAGCCUGGGUGACAGAGUGAGGACCUUGUCUCAAUAAAGAAAAAAAAAAAUUACAAACGUUUUCUUCAUAACCACAAUGCCAUUAUCAUAUAUGACAAAAUUCUUUAAUUAUUCCUUAAUAUCAUCUAAUACCUAGUCCUUAACCAAAUAUCCCUGAUUGUCUGAAAAAUGUCUUUCUACUGUUUUUCUGUUUUGAAUCAAGAACAAGGUUUAUACGCUGCAUUUGAUUAUUGUGUCUCUUAAUGAUCUUAUCAAAGGCAAACACCCCCAACCCUCACCCUUAUAUGUCAUUGAAUUGUUGAAGAGACUGGGUAAAUUUUCCAGUAAAAUUUUGCAUGUUCUGG
rnacentral:lncRNA from 1 species